CGUGUAGGCGGGAGGACAAGUCAGAUGUGAAAUUCCAUGGCUCAACUGUGGGACUGCAUCUGAAACUGUUUUCUUGAGUACUGGAGAGGAAAGUGGAAUUCCUAGUGUAGCGGUGAAAUGCGUAGAUAUUAGGAGGAACACCAGUGGCGAAGGCGACUUUCUGGACAGUAACUGACGCUGAGGCGCGAAAGCGUGGGGAGCAAACA
rnacentral:rRNA from 1 species